UAAGUCCAGAUAUUUUCUUUCUUAAUAUCAAUUUAACAUAUAUUGUUAAGAGAAAGAUAUAAAGAGAGAGAGAGAAAGAGAGAGAGAAAAAGAGAGAGAGAAAGAGUGAAAGAAAUAGAGAGAUAUAUACAGUAAACCAUGUGACAAAGCUAGCUCUUCUUCUUCUUUUUGUUUUUUUUUUUUUCUUUAUCUCGCGUCUAUUUACUAAUAAUGUAUAUAUAUAUAUAUAUAUAUAUAUACAUAUAUAUAUAUGUGUAUAUGUAUAUAUAAAUUAACAAUUAAGAAUCUUUAGAGUCGUUCGAGUUGUGUGGGCCCCCCGUUAAAAAGAACAAGUAUAGUAAAUAAUGAUAAUAAAAGGAAGAAAAGAAAAAGAAAAGAAAAAGAAAAAACCUAUAAAAAAAAAUUAAAAAAAAAAAAAAAAAAAAAGAAAAAAAAAGAAAAGAAAAAAGAGGAUAAAAAGAGAAAGAAAAGAGUGAUAAUAAACGCGAGCAAAGCAUAAGUUCAAAUAGAGUGAGGCGUGGAAUGGGGAUGGGUUAGAGGGGGAGGUGAAAAAAAAUAACAAAAAAUAAAUAAAAGAAAUAAGAGAGAGAGAGAGAGAAGAGAGAGAGAAAGAAAUGCGAACGAUGAUGAAUGAUGAUGAUGAAAACACAACUACUGGUGGGGCAUAUACGUCUCGUCCGACGCUACAACGUAUGAUUAUUAUUACCAUUAUUAUUAUUAUUAUUAUUAUUAUUAUUAUUAUUAUUAUUAUUAUUAUUAUUAUUAUAAAUAACAAUAAUAGUAAUGAUAAUUACAAUAAUAAUAAUAAUUAUUAUUAUUAUUAUUAUUAUCAUUGUGUAUCAUUAUCAUUAUUAUUACUAUUAUCGUUAUUAUUAUUAUUAUUAUUGUUAUUAUAGUUAAUAACUGUGCGUCGUAAUUAAUUUUUUAAACGGGUAUUGACGAUCGACGGUAGACGAUGGAUGGAUUCGAUUCGAAUCGAAUAAGAGAGGAAAAGCAGAUCGAUUAAGAGAAGAGAUUUUUCUUUUUCUUUUUCUCUUUUGUUUCUCUUUUUUCUUUCCUUUUUUUUUUUCUUUUUCUUUUUAUUUUUCUUUUUUUUUUUUUUCUUUUUCUGUUCCCCUUUUCUACCAAUGAACUACUAAAAUGACAAAGAAGGGAAGACUAAACUCUGUUAUACAGUGUUGUAAUGAGAUACAAAAGAAAUUUUAGGAAGAUAGAGAAAGGCAAAUUAAUAACGGAGUUUGUGUGUGUGUGUGUGUGUGUGUGUGUGUGUGUGUGUGUGUGUGUAAUAGGAGGUAAGUGUUUUAAGGUGUUUUAAGGGAGGAAAUAGAAGUAGGAAAAUAAAAACGAAGAAAAGAAAGUGAAAGAAAAGAAAUGGUGAACGUAAUUAAUCAAUUGCCCGCGCACACGGAGAAAAAGGCUAAAGGAAAAGUAAAAGGGUAGAGGAGGGAGGAGGGGAGAAAAAAAAAAGAAAGAAAGAAAUUAAAGAAAAUCAUAAAGAUAAAGAAAAACAAGGGAAAAAUCAUGAUCGACGUUAAAAGGUAGGCUGUGUUUGUGCGAGUUUAUAAGAGAAGACAAAAAAGAAAGGAAAGAGAGAGAGAGAGAGAGAGAGAGAGACAGAGAGAGAGAGAGAGAAAUAGGAUCUAGAGAGAAAUAUCUUAGAAAUCGUUGUAGGAACUCCUUUCUAACUUUAAGCCUUCGAUCGGUGAAGGAAAUUUAAACGAAAAACAAAAAAAAAUAAAACAAAUAAAUAACUAAAUAAAUAAAUAAAUAAAUAAUAAGAAAAAAAAGAAGAAGAAGAAGAAGACAAAAGUCAAGAUGAUAAAGUAAAUCAUAUUGUAAUUAAUUAACGCGUAAUUGUUGAAUGACAAUCACUCGAUUUUCUCUGUAUCGACUAUCGACGAAAAAAAAAGAAAAAAAAAAAAAAAAAAAAAAAGAAAGAAAAACAAGAAAAAAGCGCGUGUAACAUAUUUAACUUAAAUGCCCUUCGAAGCUGCCCUACGAGUUAUUUCAUCUUAUUAUUAUCUUUGUUUUUUUCUUUUCUCUAAUAAGGUUUUUUUUUUUCAUUUCGAAUGGCGUAAAAAACAUUUUUGAGUUGUUAACGAAAGAAAGAAAGGGAGAAAAAAAAAACAAGGCAGAAAGAAAGAAAAAGAAAGAUAUAGAAAGAUUGACAGAGAAAGAGAGAGAGAGAGAGAGAGAGAGGGUGGACCGUGCGUAUGUGUAUUUGUGCGUGCCGUGUCUCUGUGUCUCCAGAUUAUCGCGUUAGUUCUCUCACGUUGAUUUUUUAAUUUUUUAUUAUCGUCGUAUAUAUAUAUAUAUAUAUAUAUAUAAAAAUUUUAUUUCUUCUUCAUAAAAGAUAAACGAUUAAAUCGAUUAUAUAUAUAUUUCGUUACUUAUCUUCCAAUAUUGAUCUUCCGAUCGUAAAACACUUACAAGCGUAAAUUAAAGAAUGAAUUUACGAAGAACGAACGAGAGAGAGAGAGAGAAAAAGAAAAAAAGAGAGUGAAUGUAGUGUAUGUCCAUCAUAUGUCUGUUCUUCAUGUGUAUGAAUGAACGUGAGAAAGGGAAAGUAAGAUUGAGAAUGAAAAUGAACGUAAGAGAGAAAGAGAGAGAGAGAGAGAGAGAGAGAGAGAGAGAGAAAGAGAAAAGAAAAGAACCAAUCAAUGGCCAGGAAUUGCGUUGCAAGUCACAAUCAGCUCGUCUCCGACAAAGAUAAUAAACUUUUUUUUUUCUUUGUCAAUAGGAAAGAAAAAAAGAAAAAAAAAAAAAAAGAAACAACUAAAGAGAAUAACAUAAAAUUGUCAGAGCGGGCGUUUAUAUUAUGGUUAAGUCCUUUUUCUAUGUAAGUUCGAUUAGAAGAGAGACAGGAAAUAAUUUUAAUCGAGGUACGCGCGCGCGAUUAGAAGAGAGGAGGCAGUUUAGGAUUAUGAGAGGAAAGAAAGAUAAAAAAGAAAAAAAAAAAAGAGAGAGAAAGAAGAAAAGAAAAGAUAAGAAAUAGAUAGAAAGGUAGAAAGACACGCAGGAUAAAUAAUAGAAAAUUUACAAGUUCUCUUCGUGAAACGUCGAACGUCGUGAAAGAAAAGAAAAGGAAAUAGAGAGAAAAGAAAAGAAAAAAAAAAAAAAAGAAAGAAAAGAAAAAUAACGAAGAAACAAACGUAAAUCAUAAUCGACUUGAUAGAUAUUUCGAUCUUCCAUUAAUUAAUUGCACCGGGUACGCGCGCCGUGUUUGCUAUGGGUUUGGUAUCAAAAGAAAAAAAAAAAAA